UUUGCUAUUUAAAGUGGGUCGCGAGCUGGGUUUAGAACGUCGUGAGACAGUUCGGUCCCUAUCUGCCGUGGGCGCUGGAGAAUUGAGGGGGGCUGCUCCUAGUACGAGAGGACCGGAGUGGACGCAUCACUGGUGUUCGGGUUGUCAUGCCAAUGGCAUUGCCCGGUAGCUAAAUGCGGAAGAGAUAAGUGCUGAAAGCAUCUAAGCACGAAACUUGCCCCGAGAUGAGUUCUCCCUGAGACUUUAAGUCUCCUGAAGGAACGUUGAAGACGACGACGUUGAUAGGUCGGGUGUGUAAGUGUAGCGAUACAUUGAGCUAACCGAUACUAAUGAACCGUGAGGCUUAACCUUACAACGCCGAAGGUGUUU
rnacentral:rRNA from 1 species